rnacentral:rRNA from 1 species
AGCAGCCGCGGUAAUUCCAGCUCCAAUAGCGUAUAUUAAAGUUGUUGCAGUUAAAAAACUCGUAGUUGAAUUUCGGGGUUAGCAGGUCGGUCGUGCCAUCGGUAUGAACUGGUCUCGCUGAUCCCUCCCUCUUGACGAACUGUGAUGCCAUUAAUUUGGUGUCGCAGGGAAUCAGGACUGUUACUUUGAAAAAAUUAGAGUGUUUAAAGCAGGCUCACGCUUGAAUACAUUAGCAUGGAAUAAUGAAAUAGGACGUUUGACCCUAUUUUGUUGGUUUCUAGGAUUGACGUAAUGAUUAAUAGGGAUAGUUGGGGGCAUUAGUAUUCAAUUGUCAGAGGUGAAAUUCUUGGAUUUAUUGAAGACUAACUACUGCGAAGGCAUUUGCCAAGGAUGUUUUCAUUAAUCAAGAACGAAAGUUAGGGGAUCGAAGACGGUCAGAUACCGUCGUAGUCUUAACCAUAAACUAUGCCGACUAGGGAUCGGAUGAUGUAAUUUUUUAAUGUACUCA